CCUAACGGCUGAACCAGCAAUUUGGAGGAAUGUAUAGGGAAAACUGGUAAAAUGUGAUGUACCUAGUAAUAUUAGUGAUUAAUAUGAGAUUAACUAAGUUAAUUAAAAUUCUAAGUGAAUAUUUGAUAAUGACAAUAUUUACUUAUUUCUUGACCAAGUCACGUGCCAGCAGUCGCGGUAAUACGUGGAAGAUUAGCGUUGUUCAUAUUUAACAGGUUUAAAGGGUACCCAGACGGUUGAUUUAUCUUUAAUUAGUAAUAAGUUAACUAGAGUUUAAUGUAAGAUUGAUUGAGUACGGCGAGUGUAGAGAUGAAAUUCAGUUAUACCCCUUAGGUACUGGUAAGGCAAAAGCAACUUUUUAUGUAUAAACUGACGUUAAAGGACGAAGGCCCAUUAUAAAUAMCAGGAUUAGAUACCCCAGCACACUGGGCAGACAAUGAUGAGUGUCAUAUGUAAGAGAAUUACUUUUCUUUUAUGUAUAAAUGAAAGUGUAAGCACUCCACCUUAAGACUAACGUGGCAAUACGCAAAUUGAAAUCAUUAGACCGUUUUUGAAACCCGUAGUGAAGUAUGUUGUUUAAUUUGAUAAUCCUCAAAUAACCUUACCACAAUUUGUAUUACUAUUUUUUUUAUACCAAUAAAUAAUAUAGCAACAAGCGGUUGCACGGCUGUCUUCAGUCAAUGUUGUGAAACUUUGGUUAGAUCCAUAAAUUGACGUAAACCCUUACCUUUAUUUAUUAUAGAGUAGUUCGCCGCUAUAUUGGUAGUGAUAUAAGGGACUAAGA
rnacentral:rRNA from 1 species